rnacentral:rRNA from 1 species
AGUGAACGCUGGCGGUAGGCCUAACACAUGCAAGUCGAACGGCAGCACAGUAAGAGCUUGCUCUUACGGGUGGCGAGUGGCGGACGGGUGAGGAAUACAUCGGAAUCUACUUUUUCGUGGGGGAUAACGUAGGGAAACUUACGCUAAUACCGCAUACGACCUACGGGUGAAAGCAGGGGAUCUUCGGACCUUGCGCGAUUGAAUGAGCCGAUGUCGGAUUAGCUAGUUGGCAGGGUAAAGGCCCACCAAGGCGACGAUCCGUAGCUGGUCUGAGAGGAUGAUCAGACACACUGGGACUGGGCCACGGCACGGACUGCUACGGGAGGGGGCAGGGGGGAAUAGUGGAAAAUGGGGGAAAGGAUGAUGCAGCAAUGCCGCGUGAGUGAUGAAGGCGGUAAGGAAGUAAAGCUCUGUUACCCGGGAUGAUAAUGGCGGUACCGAAAGAAAAAGCGCCGGCUAACUCCGUG